UACGUAGGGUGCGAGCGUUAAUCGGAAUUACUGGGCGUAAAGCGUGCGCAGGCGGUUCGUUAAGUUCGUUGUGAAAGCCCCGGGCUCAACCUGGGAACUGCAAUGGAAACUGGCGGGCUUGAGUGUGGCAGAGGGGGGUGGAAUUCCGCGUGUAGCAGUGAAAUGCGUAGAGAUGCGGAGGAACACCGAUGGCGAAGGCAGCCCCCUGGGCCAACACUGACGCUCAGGCACGAAAGCGUGGGGAGCAAACGGG
rnacentral:rRNA from 1 species